rnacentral:sRNA from 1 species
UUGCAAUAGCGAUAGUAGCGGUUAUCCUUUUUCUAUGGCCCGGGGAAUGUGAGGGCAGAAAAAGAUAAUAGCGGAUAGCGCGACCCGAG